AACCCCUUUGGCCCUGUAUCAGGAGCACAGAUACAGUUUAUGUAACUUGAUGGAAGAAAAUGGAAUUACUCCAAAAAGACAAGUGCUCAAGCAGCAAAAUCCUUACUUCCAGCAAAAUCCAAACUGCUGUCUCUUAAAUCUCUUAAACUCUCUUCUUCCAUUAGAAUGCUACAAGUAACUCAGUGAAGGCCCAUGAAGGAAAUUGGGACUAGUUUAUAGGAGAACGUAUCAAUACAGUUUAUAAAGCCAAGAAUUGCUAUGAUUUAAGACUAAGAUCUGUCUUUUUGGUGACUAACCCUUCAAUUCUUUCAACUCCUGUUAAUACCCAUAAUCAGUAACCUAUCAAGAAAAGCCCUUAUUUGGAAAGUGUGAAAUUUGUAUUUGGAAAAGCUGCCUGGAGAGAAGAACUGUGUCCUUUACUGUAUUUCAACAGGACUCUUUUGGGGGAUCAAAAUUAAAAUUCCUAAUUAUGCAUUAUCUUUCUUUUCUCCAGUCCUCACAAAUACAGAAACAAUAACUGAAAUUAACUUUUCUUUUUUUAAAAAAAAUUAUAUUCAGUUUGCAGUAGACAUUCCUUAAGUAUUUGUAUUUAUUUAUGAUUAUCAAUUUUACAUAACAUUAAUAUUGUAUCAGACCUCCUUAUGAAAAUGAGUAUGGAUGUGCACAGUAUGUUUGAUUUUUAUCCACAAGAAUGAAUCUGAUUCAGAAUGCUUUUCUCAGCUGACAUACAGAGCACUAAAUAUUUUAAGGCAAGUCCAUAGGUCUGAAUCUCUUAAGAAUUCUCGGCCUCUGUGGGAUUUAGGGAAGCAUUAUAAAUGCAUUAAUCCUUAUAGUCAAUUCUGUGCCUAGGAUUUUGCCAGGGAACAGUUCACUGACUAGGAAAAGCACUACAUUUUAAAUUCAGCAUUAGUGCAUUGGGAAGGAUCUUUACUGCUUUGUGCUUGGCAUGUCAUUAUUUUCCAUUUGACAUUAGGGCCUUUCCAAAAUGAAUGUGAGGAAUUGCUUUCACUUCAAGACUUUCCUUCUUUUCACUAAAACUCUAGAAGGUGUUACAAGGGGGAGGGAAGGGGGGCAAAGUCCUUGAACAUUUUCUUUGGCUCGUGCCAUGUUAUGAUCAUAUACCUUUUAAAUAAGGGGAAAUAGUAUCUUUAAAGUUAAUGUCUAGCCAAGAGUUUAGUAAACGAAGAAUUAAACUGCACUGUUGAUCGGUGCUUUGUGUAAAUACAUCUUUAACAUUUGGGUGGAGAGGGGCCUUAAGAAGGACAGUUCAUUGUAGGAAAGCAAUUCUGUACAUGAGUUUAAGCAUUCUUGUUGCAUUGUCUCUGCAGAUUCUAUUUUUGUUUACAAUAUUAAAAUGUAUGUUAGCAAAAUGGGUGGAUUUUCAAAUAAAAUGCAGCUUCCACAAAAGUUUUGUUAUGG
rnacentral:lncRNA from 1 species